rnacentral:lncRNA from 1 species
UAUCCCUAAUUUUUGCCCGAACCUCUUUAUUCUUUUUUUUUUGGUUCGUCGGGAUGCCCUUUUUUUGCCUGGACUGUUCUUUUUAUCGUCCAGCGGGUCUAUUUUAUGCGAAGUAUAUUUUUUUUAACUGCGUCUGAUUUAAUAGGGGACGGGAAUCCUUUGCCAUCCAUGGUUGUUAGCAUCAAAGCUCCGCCAUAGAAAAUCCUUUUAACCACGUACGGACCCUCAUAGUUCG